rnacentral:rRNA from 1 species
AAGGGGCUUCGGCCCUGAGUACAGCGGCGCACGGGUGAGUAACACGUGGAUAACCUGCCUCGAAGUGGGGGAUAACACCGGGAAACCGGUGCUAAUACCGCAUAUUCUGAUGAGAUCUGCGGAUUUUGUCAGGAAAGGAGCAAUUCGCUACGAGAGGGGUCCGCGGCUGAUUAGCUAGUUGGUGAGGUAAUGGCUCACCAAGGCAACGAUCAGUAGCCGGUCUGAGAGGACGGUCGGCCACACUGGAACUGAGACACGGUCCAGACUCCUACGGGAGGCAGCAGUGGGGAAUUUUUGGCAAUGGGCGAAAGCCUGACCAAGCAACGCCGCGUGGAUGAUGAAGUAUCUCGGU